CUCAACGGAACCCUUCCCCAGUUGGCUUAAACUGUCAACUACCACAGUCCGGUUAUCUGAGGGAGUCUCAGUUGUGGGGUUGCCUCCAUCAGACUGAUCUGUGUCCAGGGGGUUUGCCUGGGAAUGGCACCGUUUGUCUGGAGUGUAGGGAGGACUCUUCUGGCCUUCGGGCAAGCUGCCGCAAUGUUCAGUGCUGAAGGCAGGGAGCAGAGCGGUGGGUCCUGGAGCCUGAUAACUAGCCAGCUUGAUAGAAUUGAUGAACUCCAAGUUCAGAGCAAUGCCCUGUCUCAAAACGUAAGUUGGAAGGCUGGCAAGAAGGCUCAGUGAGUAAAAGGCACUCACCACUGAG